rnacentral:rRNA from 1 species
AUGGAUUGCAACCCUAAGAUCAUCUUUUGGAAUGUUCGCGACCUCAACUCCGGUGCCAAACGUACGGCCGUCUGCAGCGUGAUCUCCGCUGUCGCCCCCACCAUCGUGUGCUUGCAGGAGACAAAACUUGCUCAUGUCACAGACUCGAUCGUCCUUGAUACCCUCGGCACCUUAUUUGAGGAUUUCUUCCUCCCCGCUACCGGCACACGUGGUGGCGUGCUU